CGGAGGAAGGUGGGGAUGACGUCAAGUCCUCAUGGCCCUUACACGCUGGGCUACACACGUGCUACAAUGGGAUGGACAAAGAGUCGCGAAGCCGCGAGGUGUAGCUAAUCUCAUAAACCUUCUCGUAGUCCGGAUUGGAGUCUGCAACUCGACUCCAUGAAGUCGGAAUCGCUAGUAAUCGCGGAUCAGAAUGUCGCGGUGAAUACGUUCCCGGGCCUUGUACACACCGCCCGUCACACCAUGAGAGUUGGUUUUAUCUUAAGUCAGUGCGCUAACCUUCGGGAGGCAGCUGCCCACGGUACGGCCAGCGAUUGGGGUGAAGUCGUAACAAGGUAGCCGUAGGGGAACCUGCGGCUGGAUCACCUCCUU
rnacentral:rRNA from 14 species